CUCCGUUGGCUCCGUGUCCGUAGUGUCCGUAAUCUGACAGUCCGUGCAACUCGACCUGUGGCGUCAUCGUGCAGUGAUGGGUCGAAGCUGUUGAAAUUCCUUUAAAAUCAACCUUCGUCGCAGUUCUACCAAAGCAGCGCCGUAAUUCCGAACGUUUCACUGGCGCGGUGAUGAAAUCAAACGGGAGCAACCGCGGUGCCCUGCGGCCACACUACGGCGGACGCGCUCCGCCUUUCUUGCUCGCAGCACUCUUGAUCGGGCUGGUGCUCAUCGGAUUCUGCUACUACAACUUGUCCUCGCAGUACAGUGCCUUGGAGAUGCAAUACCGGGACUUGCAAGAGCGACUGAGAGCCAUGGCGGAAAAGCGCGAGUCGCUGGAGACCCGUCACGACGAGCUGAAGAAGACGCUCGAGGACAACUCCAAGUCACUAGACGAGAAGGACAAGCAACUAUUGCAGAAGGAGCAAGAAAGAGCCGCCGUCGAAGCCGCGCUUCGCAAGAAAGAGGACGAGCUGAUCACGAAGUCCCGUGAAGCCGACACAGCUGCGAAGGCGCUGACUGGAUGCCUGCAGAGGUUGAACGAGACUUCUUCAAAGCUAUCUGAAAAAGAGACGUCCCUAGCAAAGCUCACCAGUGAAGUCGAUGCUCUGAAGGCAGCUGUCAGGGAUGCUGAAACAAAAGCUGCAGCUGGUGUACACUCCACUCUCCAAAAGGCAGCAGUUCCUGACAUAAAUCAAAAUAUGGUCAAGGAGGCCCAGGCACCUGCCAAGAAGGAAGAGACAGCAAAGGAACUUGGAAAUUCACUACAAGAUGUGCAACAAGACCCUGAUGUGAAUCCACCACUGGACGCCGGCCAAUAGAGAGUAGCAAGACCUCGGUGGGUUUUGAGUGUGAGAACAACAUUACGUGUUUUGAAACAAAUCUCCAUAUAGCUGCCUGACAAGAGGAUUGUAAGGCAAGAGCAUAGGUGCAGAGCGUCCAGGAUGGCAUAAUUGUUCUUGUCUCUUCGACCACUGUCAUUUGCCACUGUGCGUCAUAAUGCUAUCAUGGUGAGGAGGAUCUCGCAGAUCUUCAUUAUUUUUGUUUGGACCAGCUCAGAGCCUUGUGCAUUGAUUAUUGUGUCCUGUUGGAGCAGGUUGUUCAUUGUGGUUGAAAUUAUUGAUGCUGCCUCAAGGCUCGCAACUCAGUUCACGGAUUUACUGUGUAUGUAUAUCACCCAUCAUUAGAGCAGUGCUUCCAAUGUCAGCAUAAUCAGGUGCGUAAAAAUCAUAGAUAAUUUCUUGUUUGUCAUGUUUGAGCUACACUGCUGGUGUGAAACAGAUGAUUAUUCCAAGAAAAGUGUGUUGAAUAUCCUUUUCUUUUUCUUUAGGUUUGAAUCUCUCUAUUACAGGAAAUCAGGAUAUGUAGCAAAGAGGAUAUUGCCGUAUUACAUACAAUGUUCAUUACAAAAGUGUAUGCAGGCAAAUACACAAUUAGACUCCACAGAAGGAUAAUAAAUGCUAAGAAUGUUAGGAAAUUAACAUUUUCUGCCAUGAAACUAGAUCUUCAUUUAAGUUUGCAAUGCCUUUAACACAGUGCUUUCACUACCAUUUAAGAUGUUGAGUGGAAUGUGGUUAAAGUCACUUUAAAGCAACAGGAAAUAUUGAAAAGGAUUGGGUUAGCUGGACUUGUAAUAUGGCCUUAGUGCUAGGUCCUACCUACAGUGAGCACCAUAAUAAAAAUAAAGGGGUACAUCACUAAAGCAUGCCAUCAGCAGCAUCUCAUUGCCAAUAACUCAAUUCAUACUGGACUCGUUUUAAAAGAACUUUGGAAAAAAAAUUAAUGAUGGCAACUGAAAUUUGGAUGCCAUACAAUUUCAACUUCAUAUUUAUAUGCAUAGUCUGUAUUGCAUGUUUUGCAGCUGAGAACAAAUUUGCUGCCAUUCACCUUGUUUCCCAUGACUUGGCUCUUCCAUUUCUUGGCUCUUCAUAGAUUACAAUUGGCUGCUAAAUGUAACACCAAAGACGUCUUGGUUGACCUUACCUCAAAUCAUAGCCUGAUUGCUCAAGCCCACUCAGAGCCUGUUUACUCAUGCUAUUUUUUUUUGUAUCUGUAUUGUCCUGUUUAACCAAUUGUUUCGGCCUAUUUGCAGCAGUGCCUCCCACUAUAGUAGAACCAGCAAAUAAUGGCAUUCAAAACUUCAGCAUGUGUCGUGCGGAUGAUGCACUUUGUGAUGUUUCUUUUUCUUUGUGGCACAGACCAUCGUUGCUGUGAAUACAGAAGCUGCACAUGGUUGUCAGCAAUUUUAAUAAACACUCAACAUCUUCAUUAGUAAGAAAAUUUAAUAGCAUUUUAACGAAGUGUAGGCGCUAAAAUUUCUGACGAAGAUUUCAAAAAACCCCGCCAUAUGGUAGAAAACCUCCGUGUGACGACAUGAAUUAGUAUCAUGUGACAGCAACAUGAUGUAGAGUACCAAAGCGAUCACACUAGCACAGAUGUGCCAUCUGCUACAUUACACAUGAUGCCUCCACUUUGCGGCAUCAGUUCUACAAAAUGCGCUGCUUCAUCUCCUAGCAUCGAGACCACAUUGUUGUCAUUAUCGUCGUCAGAUGAAUCAGAGCACGAGCUACUGCCCAGAUGCGAGCAAAUGGAGGUGGAAAACCACUUUGUUUCUGAUUCCGGUGGUUUGGCCGUGAUAUUACCUAAAAAAUGAAAAAUGUAGA
rnacentral:misc_RNA from 1 species